UACGUAGGGUGCGAGCGUUGUCCGGAAUUAUUGGGCGUAAAGAGCUUGUAGGCGGUCUGUCGCGUCUGCUGUGAAAAUCCGGGGCUCAACCCCGGACUUGCAGUGGGUACGGGCAGACUAGAAUGUGGUAGGGGAGACUGGAAUUCCCAGUGUAGCGGUGAAAUGCGUAGAUAUUGGGAGGAACACCAGUGGCGAAGGCGGCUCACUGGACCGGUACUGACGCUGAUGCGCGAAAGCGUGGGGAGCAAACGGG
rnacentral:rRNA from 1 species